rnacentral:rRNA from 1 species
GACGAACGCUGGCGGCGUGCUUAAUACAUGCAAGUCGAACGAACAGACCAUGAUCUUGCGGCUCGCACGAUUGCCGAAGAGGUGAGUAAAACGCGUGUAAAACGUACCUGUAAGUGUGAUAAAACCAGGAAAAACGGGAUAUAAUACCGUAGAAGCUAUUGAAGCAUGUUGGUGAAUGGUAAAAUUCGGCGUUGGGGGAACUUAUAGAGGCGUAUUAGCCUGAUGGUCGGGUAGUGGAGUACCAAGGCUACGAAGGGUAGCCGGCCUGAGCGGGUGACCGGCCACACUGGAACUGAGACACGGUCCAGACUCCGACGGGAGGCAGCAGUAGGGAAUCUUCCGCAAUGGGCGAAAGCCUGACGGAGCAACGCCGCGUGAGUGAUGAAGGUCUUCGGAUCGUAAAACUCUGUUAUUAGGGAAGAACAAAUGUGUAAGUACCUAUGCACGUCUUGACGGUACCUAAUCAGAAAGCCACGGCUAACUACGUG